AUUGAACGCUGGCGGCAGGCCUAACACAUGCAAGUCGAGCGAGCGGCGGACGGGUGGGUAAGGCCUAGGAGGCUGCCUGGUAGUGGGGGAUGACGUACGGAAGGGGGCGCUAAUACAGCCUACCAUCCAAUGUGCCCAGAUGGGAUUAGCUAGUUGGUGGGGUAACGGCUCACCUAGGCGACGAUCCCUAGCUGGUCUGAGAGGAUGACCAGCCACACUGGAACUGAGACACGGUCCAGACUCCUACGGUAGGCAGCAGUGGGGAAUAUUGCACAAUGGGCGCAAGCCUGAUGCAGCCAUGCCGCGUGUGUGAAGAAGGCCUUCGGGUUGUAAAGCACUUUCAGCGGGGAGGCGUUACCCGCAGAAGAAGCACCGGCUAACUCCGUGCCAGCAGCCGCGGUAAUAC
rnacentral:rRNA from 1 species